CCCGAGAGGCAGCGGCGUCCUCCGGCGGACUCGGCGGUGUGUCUUCCGCACGCCUGCCGACAGAGUGAAGCCCUGCUCGGCAUAGGUUGCCGUCUCCCCCCGCUGACCGGCUCGCAUUCCCGCCUCGAGAAAAUGCGCGGAAAAAAACAUGAAUGGAGCGGUGAGGAGCUUCGCGCAUUGACGGAGAUGAAUGUAAGCAGGCGGCUCUGUAAUGAAUGUGACGGGAUAUAGAUGUGAGAUGAGCUGCGGUUUUGAUCAUCAGGCCUCGCGUGCUGAGGGACUAUCACGUGUACGUGUUCACGUCACGGCCGCCGACAUGAACAAUGGCUGGAUGUGUUAUUAAUUAUUCUCCCUUUUUGCUGGUGUUGUCAGGUUGAGAAAUUUGAGUUUAGUAUUCAUCAAACAGCAGUGGCCGCCACAUGCAUAUUAUAUUAUUAAGAAAUCCUCUCAUUUGAUUCCACGCGCUCACCUGCGCGUGUGUGCAUGUGUGCCCUUUUCUGAUUAUCUAAUAAAAAAAACACGGAAGGCGGGAGGAUUUUUUUUACAGUUCUUAGAUUAGCGCAUAUACAUCCUAUGAAUGAAUGUGCUUAGUGUCACAGAAGGAGGUAGUGACGACAAUUUUCAAUAAACGUAUAUAAAUUGCUCAUUGUUUGCGAAUAUUGAGAAUUAUUUUCUUCUUUACUACAGUCGGAUGUGUAACUGACUCGCACUCUGUUGUCUGUUGGCCUUAAUCAUCCUUAAAAUGUAGUGAUAAUCUAAAAAUAUGAUGUUCAAAGGUCAUAAUAAACAAUGAACGGAUGUAUAGAGGGAGGAGAA